GAGGCAAGUUCACAUAAAAAGCGACAAGAACAGAACGACCAAGCUAACUAACAAUAGUUUUCGGUUCACAAAAUGUUCUGUAAACGUUAACAUUUGAUUCUCAAAAAUGUUCUGAACGUAAGUUUUUAAUUCUAAAAAUAUUCUGGGAAAGUUUUUUGUUACAGAAAAAAACAAACGUUCAUGUAGCUAAGGUUCCUGUAGCAUUAAAAGGUUUGACAUCUUAGGAGAAUCUUGCAGUAACACUCCAGUAAUCUUUAUAAUUAAAACCUUUAGGGAACCUUAUAGUAACUUUCCCAUAACUUUUUCAAGUAUAUUUGUAAAAAAAAUAACUUGCAGUUUGUGGAUGUCCAAGUGUUCCUUUUAUAUUUGUAUAGGGGUGAAACGAUUACUCGAGUAAAUCGAGUAACUCGAUUCACAAAAUUGAUCGAUUAAUUUUCUGUGCCUCGAGUAAUCGUUUAUUUAAUUAAUAAACUCAGCGCGCGGUAUUUUCGCGACUUUUAUUUUGACAACGCGCUCAGGGUUACGUCACCCUGCCCGGGAACAAGGAGACGGAGGUUUGAGCAGCGGCAAAAAUGGAAGUGGCGAGAGAAAACAGCGAUUUUAAAGGAAUAAAAGCAUUUUAUGUUCGAACUGUGACCUGUACUCGGUGCAGUGCCAAAACAGCGCGUUUUAAUGCUGCACCAUCUGAGCCGAGGACACCCGAGACGCGAGGACGCCGAGAGAGCAGGUCCUGAUAUAUUUUGGAGAAGCGGCUUGGUGGUAAAAGAAUGCAGCACACUGAUCCAACACUGGCAGAACUGACAACGUCUCAGAAGCUAAGAUGCACAACACAAAGACGAUGUUUAUGCCUUUUUUAUUGAUUUAUACCCUAUAUUUGUUAUUUACAAGAAAUCCAAAUGUGAAAGUAAUGUAAUUAAUUUUUUUUUUUUUUAUUGUGGUAUUUAUUUAUUUAUUGUGUUUUAUUUAUUUGUAUUUGCAAUUUGGAAAUGUUGUGAAUUUAAAAAUAUAACUUAUCUAAAAAAGGAAACCAAUUGGUCAUUCAUUAUUGAGUAAAAUUCCUUUUUAAUUGCUCUUUAACAAAAAAAAUGUUUUAUCCGAUUACUCGAUUAAUCGAAUCGAUUUUUCAGUAGAGUACCCGAUUACAAAAAGAAUCGAUAGCUGCAGCCCUAUAUUUGUAUCUUUCUAAGCAUGUUCACUCGCAAUCAAAACUAAUUAAAGC
rnacentral:lncRNA from 1 species